rnacentral:rRNA from 1 species
CCUACGGGUGGCAGCAGUGAGGAAUAUUGGUCAAUGGCCGGAAGGCUGAACCAGCCAUGCCGCGUGAAGGUCAGUGCCCUAUGGGCGUUAAACUUCUUUUGUGCGGGAGCAAUAAUGGUCACGUGUGGCCAGACGAGAGUACCGUACGAAUAAGCAUCGGCUAACUCCGUGCCAGCAGCCGCGGUAAUACGGGGGAUGCAAGCGUUAUCCGGAUUUAUUGGGUUUAAAGGGUGCGGAGGCAGUGAGGUAAGUCAGCGGUGAAAAGCCCCCGCUCAACGGGGUGAAGUGCCAUUGAUACUGCCUUGCUGGAAUGCGGAUGACGUGGGAGGAAUGUGUGGUGUAGCGGUGAAAUGCAUAGAUAUCACACAGAACACCGAUUGCGAAGGCAGCUCACGGAUCCGCGAUUGACGCUGAUGCACGAAAGCGUGGGUAUCGAACAGGAUUAGAUACCCGUGUAGUC